rnacentral:rRNA from 1 species
AGAGUUUGAUUAUGGCUCAGGAUGAACGCUAGCGGCAGGCCUAAUACAUGCAAGUCGAACGGGUUGUUGUAGCAAUACAACGAUCAGUGGCGCACGGGUGCGUAACGCGUAUGCAACCUACCUUAAACUGGGGGAUAGCCUUCCGAAAGGGAGAUUAGUACCGCAUAAGAUCACACGAGGGCAUCUGAGAGUGAUUAAAGAUUUAUUGGUUUAAGAUGGGCAUGCAUGCCAUUAGCUAGUUGGUAGGGUAACGGCCUACCAAGGCUACGAUGGCUAGGGGUUCUGAGAGGAUGAUCCCCCACACUGGUACUGAGAUACGGACCAGACUCCUACGGGAGGCAGCAGUAGGGAAUAUUGGGCAAUGGACGGAAGUCUGACCCAGCCAUGCCGCGUGCAGGAUGAAGGCCUUCUGGGUUGUAAACUGCUUUUAUCUAGGAAGAAAACGCCCAUGCGUGGGAAACUGACGGUACUAGAUGAAUAAGCACCGGCUAACUCCGUGCCAGCAGCCGCGGUAA